rnacentral:lncRNA from 1 species
GAUUAGAUAGUGUAGUGAAACAUGUUUACGUAAUAAUUAGGAGCGCGUUUCUGUGAAAGAAAAGGCAUCGCAUAUGCGUACAUGAUUAAUACAUGACUGUUUCCUCUCUCUCUCACGCACAAACAGUGCUCCACUGUUCAACGUCGGAACUGUAUGGAUUUUGUCUGCUACUAUCACUGCUCCACGAGAAAGAAAAGGGUGGGGGGUUGGGGUCUCCAUCCUCUGCCAAUUUUUCUGUUCAGAAAAAAUAAAACAAAAAAAGUUAGAAACAGAAAGAUAGAGAGAGAGAGAGAGAGAGAAUCGUAUAUACAUACUAGAGAAAGAUUAUUAUCAUGGCAGCCUCUCAUUUCAUCAUCACCCCAUCUCUUUCACUGUUGCUCUUCNUCUCUUUCACUGUUGCUCUCUUUUCUGCCCUUUAAACUCCCAUCAUCUUUUUUUUCCUUCUCCAUCUCU